UGUGUGUGUGUGUGUGUAUCUUUAAUUUGUAACAAAGCCUUACAGACCCCUGCAAACAGUAAAUCCUCUCUUUUGCAACCCAGAAGUCAUUGUUGAGUAUGAGAUUUUGGUACAUGUAAGAAGGAAUAUG
ensembl:snoRNA